GACGAGGGAUCCUAGCGUUGUUCGGAAUCAUUGGGCGUAAAGCGGGUGUAGGCGGGCUUAUAAGUCAGUUGUGAAAUCCCAGGGCUCAACCCUGGAAGUGCAUUUGAUACUGUAAGUCUUGAAUGUGGUAGAGGUUACUAGAAUUCCUGGUGUAGUGGUGAAAUACGUAGAUAUCAGGAGGAAUACCAGAGGCGAAGGCGGGUAACUGGGCCAACAUUGACGCUGAGACCCGAAAGUGUGGGGAUCAAACAGG
rnacentral:ncRNA from 3 species